AUUGAACGCUGGCGGCAGGCCUAACACAUGCAAGUCGAACGAGUGGCGGACGGGUGAGUAAUGUCUGGGAAACUGCCUGAUGGAGGGGGAUAACUACUGGAAACGGUAGCUAAUACCGCCUACCAUCGGAUGUGCCCAUAUGGGAUUAGCUAGUAGGGGGGGUAAAGGCUCACCUAGGCGACGAUCCCUAGCUGGUCUGAGAGGAUGACCAGCCACACUGAAGCGUAGACACGGUCCAGACUCCGACGGGAGGCAGAAGUGGGGAAUAUUGCACAAUGGGCGCAAGCCUGAUGCAGCCAUGCCGCGUGUGUGAAGAAGGCCUUCGGGUUGUAAAGCACUUUCAGCGAGGAGGCGUUACUCGCAGAAGAAGCACCGGCUAACUCCGUGCCAGCAGCCGCGGUAAUAC
rnacentral:rRNA from 1 species